rnacentral:rRNA from 1 species
AUUGAACGCUGGCGGCAGGCCUAACACAUGCAAGUCGAGCGAGCGGCGGACGGGUGAGUACUGUAUGGGGACUGCCCGAUAGCGGGGGAUAACUACUGGAAACGGUAGCUAAUCCCGCAUACUAUCGGCUACCCCAUAUGGGAUUAGCUAGUCGGUGAGGUAAUGGCUCACCUAGUGGACGAGCCCUAGCUGGUCUGAGAGGAUGAUCAGCCACACUGGGACUGAGACACGGCCCAGACUCCUACGGAGGCAGCAGUGGGGAAUAUUGGACAAUGGGCGAAAGCCUGACGCAGCCAUGCCGCGUGAAUGAAGAAGGCCCUAGGGUUGUAAAGUACUGUCAGUAGGGAGGCGUUACCGACAGAAGAAGCACCGGCUAACUCCGUGCCAGCCGCCGCGGUAAUAC